GGGCAAUUUCCUCGCUGGGCCAGUGUUUUAGGUCAACCUCCUUCUGCCAACGGUGGAUUGACGGGACUCAAAACCGAGACAGAGCAGGAUUCAACCAAGUAAGUAAAUGGGAUUGUACGGGCGGUUUUCAAGUCCCCCGUUUGACGUCAAGUGAAAAAAAAAAAAAAAAAAAAAAGGGAAAGUAUAAAAAACACACGUAGGGAAAGGCAAUAAAUGUGAUACCUUAAAAUAACAGUGGGAAAGCAAGUGGUGGACUUGUUGGGGAUGAGUAGCAAGAAUUCUCCACUCAAAUCAUUUAUUGAGUUGAGUUGAAGUGAGGAUUACCACGACAAGAAUUUAACCACCACCCCACUUCCCAAUUCCCCGUUCUAUAGCGUCCACCCUAGGUGUCAUAAAGAACGGGACGAAAACACUGUAAAAUAUGGGUUUUUCACACGGGAAGGAGAAAAGUCUUAAAGGGGAUGAGAAGUUAAUGUGUCAGAUGGAGCCAGGAAACUUAAUGUACCUGACUAAAUGGAAAAAGAAGUACGGUGCAGAUGGCAUGUUGAAAGUAAAGAAAAAACGUGGUGUUUUGGUUUUAAAAUAAGGGUUAAGUAAAAAACUGGUACCAGAAAACGGGAAGUUAUUGGUUGUUGUUAGAUUCUAACAUAAGUUUGAGAUGUCUCUUUUUAAAUGUGCACGGGUUUUUAAAACAGGUUCCUGAAGACGAGUUUAAAAUUAAUUAAAUUAAAACAUGAAAAAUGUUAAUAAAACAUUGGAAAAUUCCUGAAGCUUCAGUAAAAUUUGAUAAAAUAAUGAGGACAGACUGAAAAUUGGUGACUGAAACUUUGACUGACUACAAACCUGGCCAGAUGUUUUGUGUUUUUGUAAUGUGCUUUGUGUUUUGUAUUGUGUUGCAAUUCAUGUUGGUGUGAAAGUGUGUGAUUGGACAUAAAAUACCACUUGGUAUUUUAUGUCAUAUAAAUACAGAGUUUUUUAGUUUAAUUCGUGGUGCAAAAUUUCCAGUUUUUAGAACACCCUAUGUGUUAAACUGGACUAAAUUAUUAAAAUUAGGCAAUAACAGCAGUAAGUGUGACCUGCAGUGUAAAGAUUGGAAGGUUAUAGAAAGAUAGAAUCUUGAUAAAAAUAAAACAUCUGAACAAAUUGAAAAUAAAUUAUGGGUUCUAAGGUUAAAUAAAUAAAUAAAGAAAGAAAGAAUAAGCCAAGAAAAUUAGGUCACAGAGGAUUGUAGAAAUGAUGUAUUGGCAAAUUAAUAGAUAAAUACAUAAAUGAUUAGAACGAAGAAAUAGCUCAUUACAUGACUGA